rnacentral:rRNA from 1 species
ACUCAAAUGAAUUGACGGGGACCCGCACAAGCGGCGGAGCAUGUGGCUUAAUUCGAUGCAACGCGAAGAACCUUACCUAGGCUUGACAUGCUAGUUAAAGCGCGUGAAAGCGCGUGUCCGUAAGGGGCUAGCACAGGUGCUGCAUGGCUGUCGUCAGCUCGUGCCGUGAGGUGUUGGCUUAAGUGCCGCAACGAGCGCAACCCCUGUCCUUAGUUGCCAGCGCGUAAUGGCGGGGACUCUAAGGAGACUGCCGGGGACAACUCGGAGGAAGGUGGGGAUGACGUCAAGUCAGCAUGGCCCUUAUGUCUAGGGCUGCACACAUGCUACAUUGCGCGCUACAGAGGGCAGCGAUACCGCGAGGUGGAGCGAAUCCCAGAAAAGCGCGCCUGGUUCGGAUUGCAGUCUGCAACUCGACUGCAUGAAGUCGGAGUCGCUAGUAAUCGCAGAUCAGCAACGCUGCGGUGAAUACGUUCCCGGGUCUUGUACACACCGCCCGU